rnacentral:rRNA from 1 species
ACCUGGUUGAUCCUGCCAGUAGUGAUAUGCUUGUCUAAAAGAUUAAGCCAUGCAAGUGCGAGUGAUUCGGAGCAUCACUUUUCGGAGGGAAGGCUCGAGGAUGACUGCGAAAGGCUCAUUAAAACAGUUAUGGAUCUGGAUGGUCAGAAGAAGAAGAGGAGGAUAAGGGUGUGAAAAUAGAGCUAAAACGAGGGAGGGGGAUCUCGAACGAUGGUUUUUUUACCGUAGAGGAAGGGAUUUCUAGAAUUUCAUAGGAGAUAUGAGAGGGAGCAUGUGAAUAUUUGACCUAUCAACUGGGGAUGGUAGUAUAGAGGACUACGAUGGUGGUGACGGGUGACGGAGGAUCAGGGUUUGGUACCGGAGAGGGGGCCUGAGAGAUGGCCACCACUUCUAAGGAAGGCAGCAGGCGCGAAAAUUACCCAAUGUUGGAACAGUGAGGUAGUGACGAGGAAUAGCGGAGAGAGAGCCUAAAGGGUUUUUUGUUUGCAAUGGAAGGAGGAUAGAGAGGUUCUUGAGGAACGAUCAGAGGGAAAGUCUGGUGCCAGCAGCCGCGGUAAUUCCAGCUCUGAAAGCGUAUACUAGAGUUGUUGCGGUUAAAAAGCUCGUAGUUGGGGGGGGGAGACAUUGAGGAAAAUAGAGUGUUUAAGGGUGAAGUGGGAGAGCAUGGGACGUCCGUCGGUUUGAGGGAUCAAACAAGAAGAGAAUAGAAACAAUAGAGGAUAUUAGUAUUUUAUAGUUAGAGGUGAAAUUCUAUGAUUUAUGAAAGACUAACAGGGGCGAAAGCAUUUAUCUCUGGUAAGUUUAUUGAUAAAGAACGAAAGUUAGGGGAUCGAAGAUGAUUAGAUACCGUCGUAGUCCUAGACUAUAAACAAUACUAACUAUGGAUUUGGGGGGCUGACAUCUCUAUUGAGGGUUGAAAGAGCGCGUGAGGACGUGGAGCGAGAAAUCAUUGAGUAUUUGAGUUCCGGGGGGAGUAUGGUUGCAAGACUGAAACUUAAAGGAAUUGACGGAGGGGCACCACAAGGCGUGGAGCUUGCGGCUUAAUUUGACUCAACACGGAGAAACUUACCAGACCAAGACAUUCAGAGGAUUGACAGACGAGGAGGUUUUUCGAGAUAGGAUGGGAGGUGGUGCAUGGCCGUUCUUAGUUGGUGGAGUGAUUGUCAGGUUAAUUCACGAUAACGAACGAGAUUUUAGUGAGAGAGACGCCUGGAUGAAAGGAAUUCGUGGAGGAGGUUAAAUCAGAUGGAUAGGAAGAUAUACUAUAGGAAGAUUAAAGUGAUAACAGGUCUGUGAUGCCCUUAGAUGGUUUGGGCUGCACGCGUGCUACAAUGAUAGAGAGAGAAAGAAAGUCUUCUUCUUUUUGGAGGAGAGAAAGGGGAUCGAAGGAUCGUCAUUGAUUCAGAGAAUCUAUCAAGAAUGGGGGAUUAACGAUUGGAAUUAUUCGUUAUGAACACGGAAUGCCUAGUAAGUAUAAGUCAACAGGUUAUAUUGAUUAGGUCCCUGCCUCUUGUACACACCGCCCGUCGCUGCUACCGAUUGAAUAGGAAAUGUGAAAUGGGAGGACGGGAGACUCUGGGAAGAGAGGAACGGAAAACUAUUGAAUGUUUAUAUUUAGAGGAAGCAAAAGUCGUAACAAGGUUUCCGUAGGUGAACCAGCGGAAG